AAGGAAAAGCCAGACCUUCCCCUGAGCAUUUGAAAUUCACUCCAAUAGAUUAAUGAACACUUUUCUUGCAUGCAACUUCAUGUUUUUAAGAUCUUCCACAGGGAAGGGGUAUGAUGGAAGCUGCCAUGUAGAAUUGUACAGCUGCUGCAUGUGCUAUACGCUCCACAGAUGUGCCCAGGGAAGAAUGCAUGAGGAAAGAAGUCAUAGUGAUGGAGAAACAAACUAAUUUCUGUAAGUAAAAUGACUUGGCUAAAGAGCAGUACUAGUCUGCCCUUACAAAGCAGAUGAACUGAGGUCCUUGUCUUAGCUGUCUGUUCCGUCAUGAAGGUGUUACAAUUGUGCG
rnacentral:lncRNA from 1 species